rnacentral:rRNA from 1 species
GCGGACGGGUGAGUAACACGUGGGUAACCUGCCCAGAAGCAGGGGAUAACACCUGGAAACAGAUGCUAAUACCGUAUAACAGAGAAAACCGCCUGGUUUUCUUUUAAAAGAUGGCUCUGCUAUCACUUCUGGAUGGACCCGCGGCGCAUUAGCUAGUUGGUGAGGUAACGGCUCACCAAGGCGAUGAUGCGUAGCCGACCUGAGAGGGUAAUCGGCCACAUUGGGACUGAGACACGGCCCAGACUCCUACGGGAGGCAGCAGUAGGGAAUCUUCCACAAUGGACGCAAGUCUGAUGGAGCAACGCCGCGUGAGUGAAGAAGGGUUUCGGCUCGUAAAGCUCUGUUGUUAAAGAAGAACGUGGGUGAGAGUAACUGUUCACCCAGUGACGGUAUUUAACCAGAAAGCCACGGCUAACUACGUGCCAGCAGCCGCGGUAAUACGUAGGUGGCAAGCGUUAUCCGGAUUUAUUGGGCGUAAAGCGAGCGCAGGCGGUCUUUUAAGUCUAAUGUGAAAGCCUUCGGCUCAACCGAAGAAGUGCAUUGGAAACUGGGAGACUUGAGUGCAGAAGAGGACAGUGGAACUCCAUGUGUAGCGGUGAAAUGCGUAGAUAUAUGGAAGAACACCAGUGGCGAAGGCGGCUGUCUGGUCUGUAACUGACGCUGAGGCUCGAAAGCAUGGGUAGCGAACAGGAUUAGAUACCCUGGUAGUCCAUGCCGUAAACGAUGAUUACUAAGUGUUGGAGGGUUUCCGCCCUUCAGUGCUGCAGCUAACGCAUUAAGUAAUCCGCCUGGGGGAGUACGACCGCAAGGUUGAAACUCAAAAGAAUUGACGGGGGCCCGCACAAGCGGUGGAGCAUGUGGUUUAAUUCGAAGCUACGCGAAGAACCUUACCAGGUCUUGACAUCUUCUGCCAACCUAAGAAGAUUAGGCGUUCCCUUCGGGGACAGAAUGACAGGUGGGUGCAGGGUUGUCGUCAGCUCGUGUCGUGAAAAUGUUGGGGUUAAGUCCCCGCAACGAGCCGCAACCCUUUAUUACUAGUUGCCAGCAUUUCAGUUGGGGCCUCCUAAUGGAGAAUGGCCGGUGACAAACCCGAAGGAAAG